GUGAAUCAUCGAAUUUUUGAACGCAUAUUGCACUCUCUGGUAUUCCGGAGAGUAUGCCUAUUUGAGGGUCAUUUGAAAUAAUAUUAUUUCUAAGUUUUCUCGGUCUUUAAAUUGGGUUGUCUAUUUUUUGUGGUCGCCUUAAAUCCCAGACAAUCUCCUUUUCUUGGGUUGCUUGAUACUUUCAGUUACCUCGUGACUUAACCAGGAAUUAUCU
rnacentral:misc_RNA from 1 species